ACCCAGUUUGUGGUUACGAUAUGAGAACUUAUACAUACAAAAUGUACUUUAGCCAGUGCCACUUGAACUUGGUGAAUUGCAACGCAAUGGUGUUAUAUGGUAAAGGAAUGUACGGAACUAAUAUUAGGGAUCGUAUCGUAGUAUUUAUGGGCGAAGGAUAUAAAUGUCGACAAUACGUGAGGACUAAUGAAUUCAUGAAAGAAAAUGCUACUAAGCUCUACUAGAGUAGUAAAGACUUCGUGUUGAUCGCUACGUUUGUCGCUUUCUUCUAGAAUAUUAUCUUGUGACGUAUUUUUUCAUCUUUGCACAUUUUUAUACUUUUGUUUUUAUGUUUAAUCAAUAAAAUAUAUCCUCGUUAUUUUGAAACAUAGAAGUGUCAUAAUUUUUGGGAAAAAUAGAUAAUAUCUUAUUUUUUAAGGUAUCGU